UAGUAAUCAGAAUUUCAUAAUAUAUCUUUGACCUAAGAAACAACCCGAUUGCGGUCGUGAGGUCAUGUUAAUUCUAUUAUUAUAUCAUAAUUAAGUUCGAAGUUAUGUACUACAAUAACUAUCGUCUGCUGUUUUCUGGGCCCACGUUUACCUGGAGAAUAUUGUGAAAAUAUACGAAAAGGUUUACUACGAAGGAAAUAACGACGUGCAACAUGUUGGUGCUAACCUGGGAGUCAUAUUCCAGU